UGCAUUUUGUCACUUCCAAUGAUGUUAUCUGUAUGUUUAAAAUUGAAAACGUGUCUCUCAUACUAUGUGAAUUCAACGUUCUCUUCACCCUUUCUAUUUGGGCUCUCAUCAGUCAUCACUCUUUCUUAUUUGUGUGUUUAUGGGCCUUUACAAAAUGUAACUCAUCUGAUCCGUUUUUGUUUAGAAUUUUCUCUAUUCCCGACACCAAGCAAUCACUGUUGUUCCUCCUUUGUUCUUCAUCUCACGCCGGCCAUGUCUUCUCGAGUUUUUUUUAUCUUGGCGAUCUGUUGAGUCAUUCAUGGACAUUUUAUUACACAAAGCCCAUCCACAGAUUUUUAAGCCCUCU
rnacentral:lncRNA from 1 species